ensembl:lncRNA
GUGGUCUUCGGGGGCCGCAAUAAGGAAAACACCAGCAAGGAGGCUGAUGGCCACGGAGCGGCCUUGGUUUUCCUUCCUGGUAACAUCUCGGGAGAGAACCCCUUGGGGAAGGAGGGAAGGAGCGCUCCCCGUGGGAGGCUCGGGGGGCAGGGGUGUGGGAGGCUGUGAGCCGCUGCCAGGGUCAGCGCCAGUGUCCGGGACGCGGGCUUCCAAGAGCCGGACAGACCUCGGAGAUCCCCCCUUUCUUCUAACAGUGGGCAGUGAGAGAAACAGUCUUCAUUGGGAAAUCGACGCCACCCCCAGCCUGGCUUUGAUGUGUAAAGCCCUUUCCCUGUGGGUCACCGAGUGGCUCGGGGUACUCAAGGCCUUGUGCCGGCUUUAAUCCGCUGCUUCCUGGGGGGUCUCGGGGAAAGGACUCCCCCUGGGAGGCCGCCGCUUCCUCUUCCUCAAGUGAAUCCUUUGGAUGGGAUGGGACACCCCCCCCCCCCGCCCCAGGCGCUUUCUUUCUGGGGGAAAUGCGUUCCUUGGGGUGCAGCGUAUCUACCCGGGACGGCCCGCCCUGGCUCCAGGUUAACCGAGGCAGCGUGCCCGGCAGGAGGGAGCCUUUGGGGCGGGGUCUUAGACGGGAAAGAAGCACGCGGUGGAAAGGUGCCGGCUGAUCUUGGGGGCCCCCUCCUGGCUGCUCGGCCCACCACUGGCUCCGGAGAGGGGGAGGCCCCAGGCCGUCCACAGCCCAAGGAAGGAGGGCGCUUGGGCAGCCCAGCGGGACACGCUCGCACCCCUUCUCUCCUGAGACACUGCAGAAAGCGCACCACUCUCGUAGGCCCACACACGCGCGCGCGCACACACACAGCCCAGCGUCACUAGCAACCUUGCACACAUUGUCUAGCAUCGGCAGCACCCUUGCACUAAUGUACACGCACACAGUGCCCAGCAUCGCUGGCAACCUGGCACACAUGCACAUACACUGUCCAGCACCAGCAGCAGCUUUGCAUGAGUGCACACAUGCAGUGCCCAGCAUCAGCAGCACCCUUGCACGCACACACGCACGCACGCCCAGCAUCGGCAGCACCCUUGCACGCACACACGCACGCACGCACGCCCAGCAUCGGCAGCACCCUUGCACGCACGCACGCACGCACGCCCAGCACCGGCAGCACCCUUGCACGCACGCCUAGCGCCCAGCAUCAGCAGCACCCUUGCACACAUUGUCUAGCAUCGGCAGCACCCUUGCACGCACGCACGCACGCACGCCCACAGAUAGUGCCCGGCAUCCCCUGCCCCCUCCGGGCGGGUCAGCGCGCCCCAGCUCCCUGCGGAGAUGCUCGCGCCACAGCCCCGGCCCACCCCGCCUCCCGGCCCCCGCAGUACCCCGAGGUCUCCCUCUGCUCUGCCCGCAGGCCCGGCACGUCCCAGACCCGGGCCCUCCCUUGCCUGCAGCGGGCGCGGCCGCCCUGCCCCCCCCCCCCCCCCCCCCCCCCCGCGCACUCGCCCCUCCUAGGGGCGGCCCCGCGGCUCCGCCCCCCCGCCGGGCGGAAGGGACUCGGAGCCCGUCACAUGACGGUCGGCCUGUGUCUGAGCUGGCGCUGACCGCGGUCCCCACGCCGGGAAGGGCGGCGCAGGCGCGGAGGAGGCCCCAUGGCGGGGCUCUUCGGGGGCGUGGAGGGGUGAGUGGCCGCCUGGGGGCCCUCCUGUCACAGGGGUCGCCCGCUGGGGAGAGCCCGGGCCGGGGCCCGAGUUCUUCGCCAUCUGCCUCCCCCACGAUCCCGGCAUUUAUAGCGCCGGUGCGGCCCGGGCUCAGCCGCCGCUCGGGUUCUCCCGGGGGACACCGCGCGCGCCGCUGCCCACCAAAGGGGGGCCACCCACUCCAAGGCCGUGCUGCUGACCGGAGACGGCGAGGUGGUGGCCGAGGUGUCCGGGCCGAGCACCAACCAGUGGCUGAUUGGACUGGAGCAGUGCGCAGAAAGGAUCAAUGACAUGGUGACCAAAGCCAAGGAGCAAGCGGGGAUCAGCGUCACUGAGCCGCUCCUCAGCCUGGUAAGUCCGGGGCAGAGGUGGGCACGGGGGCCCGAGGGAGAACCUAGGCCU